CCACUUUAAGUCAUUUUAAAAUUGCUUUUUGAGAUAUUUCUCUGGAGUUAUCAAUCAUGGUAUUCAAGGCAUCCAGUUUUUAGUUCUUGUUGUAUCAGUUUCUCAUAAAAACUAAGUUUGUUAAUUCUGUUACUUGAGAAUAAGGCUUAAGUGUCUUGAAGCACUACUUGCAUAACCUCUAAUAUAAUCAUACAUACAUAUGGCGUAUAAAACAAGAAAUAUCAUGCGUGCAUUAGACAUUAAUUGAACUUCCCCAAGGAGUGGUUUAUUAGCAUCAUUGUACAUGCAUCAAUUCUUAUUUGGGAUUAUUUAUUGUAACAUAUAUAUAUAGGGAGCUGAUUAGUGAUCUUUAAUCAAGUGACUUGUUAAGGUUAACUCAUUAAGGGAGGUAUCCACCAUGCCCACCGCCUUCGCCACUCCCUCCACCGUAUCCAUCCUACUCCUCCAUAGCCACCUCCACCACCUUCACCACCACCAUAGCCUCGUCCUACAGCAGCAUAAGCGACACCACCAACGCCAUUGUCGUCUAAAGUGUCAACGCUGACCUCUUUGUCGAGGAGAGUUCUGGCAGCACAGGAAUACACUGCCACACCGAGUAACCCAAACAAAACAAUAUUCACAAUCUUUGAAGUUUUCAUAUUGGAAAGUGUUUGAUGUUUCAAAGAAUGAAAUGGGGUAUAUAUAGGAAUCAUGUAACUGUGUAAGACUCCAAAAGCGCGUACUCAUUCUGGGUAGAGUUGACUAUCAAGCACACUGCAAAUAAUAUUUACUACUAACCAUUUCCUUCAUCCAACUUCUCUGUGUGCCAAACCAAAUCCAUGUUAAUUGUUAUGGACUCACCCCUAAAUUAC
rnacentral:lncRNA from 1 species